rnacentral:lncRNA from 1 species
GUGAGUGAGUGACAGUCCCUGGGGACCUACACUGCUGCCGUGAACCUUUGCAAGCUGAGCAUGGGAGAGCCCACCUGACCACUGUGGGCCUCCAGAGUGACACAGAAAGCUGCCUGGAGUCUGAGCAGAGCCAGCACUCAAACCCACAUUGAGUCCCAUGGGCCUUGGAUCCCUGAGCACCUUGGCACCAGCUUCUGUAGCCCUGACAACAAGGGAAGUCUGACCCUUUCACAUGCCCCUAGGAUAGGGGCUGCGUCCACAGUGCUAAGGAGUGGACAGACUUUAGGCCCCACAUCUGCUGCACAUUGCCAGGCAAGGGCCACCGGCCUGGACCCCAGCACAGCCACCCUACCACAGCUGAGGACUCCAGAUGGUCACAACUCUCCGUUUCUCUGAGCCAGAACUCCCACUGUGAUUGCCACUGUCAAGGUCCCUGCCUCUGCUUAUCUCAGGCUGGGGAGGGAGCAAACAGCCUGAAAACUGUCACAAGGCCUCCAGCACACUGCAGCUGCUGUAUUGAAAGGAAGCGAAACUGUUUUCCAUGUGCGUCCUUGCCCCUGCUGUUCCUCACUGGGCAAGGCCUCCUAGCCUGGGACCCCAGCACAGCUACCCUACCUCCACCUAAUCGCUUUAGUCAGUGACUCUGCUUUCUCUGGGGUGGAGCUCCCAAAGACAACAGAAAGGCCUUAGCAGGGUCCCCUGGCUUGGGCCUGCAGCACAGCCACCCCGCUCCUGUCUGAUCAUUCUAAUUGUCAGUGGCUCUGUGUUUCUCCUGGAACAUCUAACAAAAGAAAUGCAGGCAUAGUGCCAGCGAUCAGAGGGUGCUUCCCCAAAACCCAGGAGUGGACCUGAUGAGGGAGUGACCUCUUUGCCCAUCACAUCACAGAGCAUGGCUGCAAACAUGAGGAAAUACAAAGGAGCCACACAGCUGAGUAAGAGCCUAUCUACUGGUCGUUACUCUUAAGCACAAUCUACUGUAUCGCAGCCCAAACUACAAAACCAAAAAUGCUUUGAAAGUAUAUACCACUCUGAAAGCAAGGGCAAUAAUUCAGCCACAAAUAAAGACCCUGCACAGAGCUUUGGCCCUCUGAAAACAUCCAGAAAUGAAGUCAACUGACUAUAAUAAACUUAAACCACAAUUAAAGGAACACCAACACUCCCAGAUAAGAAUCAACACAAGAACUCUGGCAAUUAAAAAACCCAGAGUGUCCCCAUACCUCCAGAUGAGUCCAUUAGCUCCCCAACAAUGGUUCUUAUCCAAUCAGAAAUAACUGAAAUGACAGGCAGAAUUCAGAAUCUGAAUGGCAAGGAAG